UACGAAGGGGGCGAGCGUUGUUCGGAUUUACUGGGCGUAAAGGGCUCGUAGGCGGCCAACUAAGUCAUACGUGAAAUCCCUCAGCUUAACUGGGGAACUGCGUGUGAUACUGGAUGGCUUGGAUGUGGGAGAGGGAUGCGGAAUUCCAGGUGUAGCGGUGAAAUGCGUAGAUAUCUGGAGGAACACCGGUGGCGAAGGCGGCAUCCUGGACCAUUAUUGACGCUGAGGAGCGAAAGCCAGGGGAGCAAACGGG
rnacentral:rRNA from 1 species